CGAGUGUCAUCAGCACGCCUCAUAAAGUAUCCGGCACUUCCGCAGGCUGCAGUGCUUUACAGGACUUGUGAUGUAGAUCGUCGUCAUUUUUGUUUCACAAACAAGGAAGGAGAAUCUCAGAGAUUCCGUAAACUCCAUAAAGCGGUGAUUCAUGACAGAAGCAGGGACGCAACUUCGACCAGUUGUGAAGGAUCAAACCCAGGACCGUGUUCAGGCUAAGCAAGCAUCCAACCACUGCGCUACAUCAGAAGCCCUUUUUUUGUGACUGGCUCUCUCUAUGUAAAGCUGACCUUGAACUUCCUCUGUACUCCACAUUGACCUGGAAACUGUCCUCUCUCUACCUACAUAGUGCUUGGAUUAUAGCUGUGACCACCUCAGCCUCGGGCCAAGCGCCUGGCAGAGGAGAGGAACCCACUACAUGUUUGCUGAAUAUGAAUGAAUACCGAGGCAGCUGGUUUCAGUAACAGCAGAGCCACCCUGGGCAUGCAACUUAAAGUCCUUUGAGACUUUGUCCUCAUUUGCAAGAUCAGGAACAAAACGAGCACUAUCUUCCUGUGUAUGAUAAGAAUUAAAGAAGAUUCUGGCAUGCUCUGUAAACUGGUGUACUAGUGUAAGAAAGUGUAAUUAUCGUGACUCAUUGCAUGACAAAUAAAGAUUUAUUUUUAGAA
rnacentral:lncRNA from 7 species